CCUACGGGAGGCAGCAGUGGGGAAUAUUGCACAAUGGGCGGAACCCUGAUGCAGCGAUGCCGCGUGGAGGAAGAAGGUUUUCGGAUUGUAAACUCCUUUUAUCAGGGACGAUAAUGACGGUACCUGAAGAAACAGCUCCGGCUAACUACGUGCCAGCAGCCGCGGUAUUACGUAGGGAGCGAGCGUUGUCCGGAAUUACUGGGGGUAAAGGGAGCGUAGGCGGGACGGCAAGUCAGAUGUGAAAACUGAGGGCUCAACUUUCAGACUGCAUUUGAAACUGCUGGGCUUGAGUGAAGUAGAGGUAAGCGGAAUUCCUGGUGUAGCGGUGGAAUGCGUAGAUAUUAGGAGGAACAUCGGUGGCGAAGGCGGCUGUCUGGGCUUCUACUGACGCUGAGGCUCGAAAGCGUGGGGAGCAAACAGGAUUAGAGACCCGUGUAGUC
rnacentral:rRNA from 1 species